rnacentral:rRNA from 1 species
GCAGUCGAGCGGACAGAUGGGAGCUUGCUCCCUGAUGUUAGCGGCGGACGGGUGAGUAACACGUGGGUAACCUGCCUGUAAGACUGGGAUAACUCCGGGAAACCGGGGCUAAUACCGGAUGGUUGUUUGAACCGCAUGGUUCAGACAUAAAAGGUGGCUUCGGCUACCACUUACAGAUGGACCCGCGGCGCAUUAGCUAGUUGGUGAGGUAACGGCUCACCAAGGCAACGAUGCGUAGCCGACCUGAGAGGGUGAUCGGCCACACUGGGACUGAGACACGGCCCAGACUCCUACGGGAGGCAGCAGUAGGGAAUCUUCCGCAAUGGACGAAAGUCUGACGGAGCAACGCCGCGUGAGUGAUGAAGGUUUUCGGAUCG